rnacentral:tRNA from 1 species
GCACAUGUAGUAUAAUAAAUAUGUCAGGUUUAGGACCAGGAGAUUAUGGUGUGCU